UACGUAGGGUGCAAGCGUUAAUCGGAAUUACUGGGCGUAAAGCGUGCGCAGGCGGUUUUGUGAGUCUGUCGUGAAAUCCCCGGGCUUAACCUGGGAAUUGCGAUGGAGACUGCAAGGCUAGAAUCUGGCAGAGGGGGGUAGAAUUCCACGUGUAGCAGUGAAAUGCGUAGAGAUGUGGAGGAACACCGAUGGCGAAGGCAGCCCCCUGGGUCAAGAUUGACGCUCAUGCACGAAAGCGUGGGGAGCAAACAGG
rnacentral:rRNA from 1 species